AUUGAACGCUGGCGGCAGGCCUAACACAUGCAAGUCGAACGCGUCGCGGACGUGUGUGUAAUGUCUGGGAAACCGCCGUAUGGAGGGGUAUCACUACUGGAAACUGUAUCUAAUACCGCAUACUCUCGGAUGUGCCCAGAUGGGGUUAGCUAGUAGGUGGGGUAAAGGCUCACCUGGGCGACGAUCCCUAGCUGGUCUGAGAGGAUGACCAGCCACACUGGAACUGAGACACGGUCCAGACUCCUACGGGAGGCACCAGUGGGGAAUAUUGCACAAUGGGCGCAAGCCUGAUGCAGCCAUGCCGCGUGUAUGAAGAAGGCCUUCGGGUUGUAAAGUACUUUCAGCGGGGAGGCGUUACCCGCAGAAGAAGCACCGGCUAACUCCGUGCCAGCCGCCGCGGUAAUUC
rnacentral:rRNA from 1 species